CCUUUGAUGUCGGCUCUUCCUGUCAUUGUGAAGCAGAAUUUACCAAGCGUUGGAUUGUUCACCCACUACUAGAGAACGUGAGCUGGGUGUAGUCCGUCAUGAGGCAAGCU
rnacentral:ncRNA from 1 species